UAGAACAGGACAUGCGGUUUUGCGCUGAACGGGUCGCGCAGGACGCGCAGGUCCGGGCGCUCGGCCACAGUGUAACCGUUCGCGAAAUCGCCAAAGGCGACCGAGAACGACCCGCUGGCCACAUCCGGCAUGUCCUCGGCGAUCAGCACCGGGUAACCCAGCAGACGCGCCGGCUCGCCGGCGGCCAGGCCGUCCGACCACAGGAAGCGGCCGUCGCCGUCCUUGAGCUUGCGCACAACGCCGGCGGUCUUCGAGUUCAUCACGAAGGUCGCAUUGGCGCGGUACUGCGCACCCAGGGCGUAGACCAGUUCGAUGAUCGCAUCGCCCGUGCCGAUUCCGCCGUCCACGCCGGUCGGCACAUAGCCCAGGUUGCCCCAGGCCCAGACAUCGUUGUCGACGGCCGGGUGGGUCAGGAUGCCCAUGGGCUUGUCGAUGCCGUCACCCGACACAAAGGCCGCGGCCUCUGCCCGUGCGAACUUGUCGGCGAUGCGGCCGGCCAGCCAGCCUUCGAUGUCAAAUGCGCUGUCGUCCAGCAGACGCUGCGACGCCUUGGGCAGAGCGCUCAGCUCGUGCAGCGGAAUGGUGAUACGAUCGAUCGACGGGGUAUCGGUCUCGGCGAUGGAACCGGAUUCCGUCGCCCAGCCGGCACCGACAUCGGUAUGGUCGAUCAGCACGUCGAACGAGGUCGCCUCGACAUUGACCACCGAGGCCACGGCCCGCAGCGACGCGGUCGAAUACAGAGCCGACUUGAUGAUAUCGGCGGUCUGCGGAUCGACCAGAUAGCCA
rnacentral:rRNA from 1 species